rnacentral:rRNA from 1 species
GACGAACGCAGGCGGCGUGCCUAAUACAUGCAAGUCGAGCGAAUCAAUAGGAGCUUGCUCCUGUUGGUUAGCGGCGGAUGGGUGAGUAACACGUGGGCAACCCGCCUGUAAGACUGGAAUAACACCGGGAAACCGGUGCUAAUACCGGAUAAUCCUUUUCCUCUCAUGAGGAAAAGCUGAAAGUCGGUUUCGGCUGACACUUACAGAUGGGCCCGCGCCGCAUUAGCUAGUUGGUGAGGUAACGGCUCACCAAGGCGACGAUGCGUAGCCGACCUGAGAGGGUGAUCGGCCACACUGGGACUGAGACACGGCCCAGACUCCUACGGGAGGCAGCAGUAGGGAAUCUUCCACAAUGGACGAAAGUCUGAUGGAGCAACGCCGCGUGAGUGAUGAAGGCCUUCGGGUCGUAAAGCUCUGUUGUUAGGGAAGAACAAGUACCGGAGUAACUGCCGGUACCUUGACGGUACCUAACCAGAAAGCCACGGCUAACUACGUGCCAGCCGCCGCGGUAAAAC